CCAUGCAAGUCGAGGGGUAACAGGGAGCUUGCUCUGCUGACGACCGGCGCACGGGUGCGUAACGCGUAUACAAUCUGCCUUACACUAAGGGAUAGCCCAGAGAAAUUUGGAUUAAUACCUUAUAGUUUAUUAGGGUGGCAUCAUUUUAAUAAUAAAGAUUACGGUGUAAGAUGAGUAUGCGUCCCAUUAGUUUGUUGGUAAGGUAACGGCUUACCAAGACUACGAUGGGUAGGGGCCCUGAGAGGGGGAUCCCCCACACUGGUACUGAGACACGGACCAGACUCCUACGGGAGGCAGCAGUGAGGAAUAUUGGACAAUGGGCGAGAGCCUGAUCCAGCCAUGCCGCGUGCAGGAAGACGGUCCUAUGGAUUGUAAACUGCUUUUAUACAGGAAGAAUAAGGACUACGUGUAGUCUGGUGACGGUACUGUAAGAAUAAGGACCGGCUAACUCCGUGCCAGCAGCCGCGGUAAUACGGAGGGUCCGAGCGUUAUCCGGAAUUAUUGGGUUUAAAGGGUCCGUAGGCGGGCUAUUAAGUCAGGGGUGAAAGUUUGCAGCUCAACUGUAGAAUUGCCUUUGAUACUGAUAGUCUUGAAUUAUUGUGAAGUGGUUAGAAUAUGUAGUGUAGCGGUGAAAUGCAUAGAUAUUACAUAGAAUACCGAUUGCGAAGGCAGAUCACUAACAAUAUAUUGACGCUGAUGGACGAAAGCGUGGGUAGCGAACAGGAUUAGAUACCCUGGUAGUCCACGCCGUAAACGAUGGAUACUAGCUGUUCGGUUUUCGGACUGAGCGGCCAAGCGAAAGUGAUAAGUAUCCCACCUGGGGAGUACGUUCGCAAGAAUGAAACUCAAAGGAAUUGACGGGGGCCCGCACAAGCGGUGGAGCAUGUGGUUUAAUUCGAUGAUACGCGAGGAACCUUACCAGGGCUUAAAUGUAGAUUGACAGGUUUAGA
rnacentral:rRNA from 1 species